AGCUUACAAGACAUGAGCAUUGUUGAGGAGGACUUUGACGAAAAUGUUUUCAAUGACCCAAUGAACAGUGUGAAUUGAUUGGGCAGAUCAAUCUUCCCCAGAAGGAGGUGCUGCAAAGGAUGGUUACAGCUCUGAUGAAGAAUACAUUCCACCGAUUUCUAUAAGAAUGGGAGCAGCCCUGAAGCAUGCACAGUCUAUUGAUGGACUUCCUAUUAUGGGAAUCGAUGAGACUGUGCAUGACCUGCCUACACAUGAAGACCCUCC